rnacentral:rRNA from 1 species
CCGGCGGUGGGACAAUGCCAGGCGGGGAGUUUGACUGGGGCGGUCGCCUCCGAAAGGGUAUCGGAGGCGCCCAAAGGUUCCCUCAGAAUGGACGGAAACCAUUCGAAGAGUGCAAAGGCAGAAGGGAGCUUGACUGCGACACCGACGGGUGGAGCAGGUACGAAAGUAGGGCUUAGUGAUCCGGUGGUAUUAAGUGGGAAUGCCAUCGCUCAACGGAUAAAAGCUACCCUGGGGAUAACAGGCUUAUCACUCCCAAGAGUUCACAUCGACGGAGUGGUUUGGCACCUCGAUGUCGGCUCAUCGCAUCCUGGGGCUGUAGUAGGUCCCAAGGGUUGGGCUGUUCGCCCAUUAAAGCGGUACGCGAGCUGGGUUCAGAACGUCGUGAGACAGUUCGGUCCCUAUCCGGCGUGGGCGUAGGAUAUCUGAGAGGAGCUGUCCUUAGUACGAGAGGACCGGGAUGGACGGACCGCUGGUGGACCGGUUGGCUUGCCAAAGCCAUGGCCGGGUAGCCAAGUCCGGAAGGGAUAAACGCUGAAGGCAUCUAAGCGUGAAGCCCCCCUCAAGAUGAGAUAUCCCAUUCUUAUGAAGUAAACCCCCUUGAAGACGACGAGGUAGAUAGGGCAGAGGUGGAAGUGUGGUAACACAUGGAGCUGACUGUUACUAAUCGGGUGAGGGCUUGACCAA